UAAUGCUGUAAAAUUUUGAAACAUCCUCAAAGUUUUUUUUGUUUCUGUGCGUGUGCAACAUGGAUUGGCAAAGACAGUAUGGCAUUAAUAUUGACUUUGGCUUUGGGUAUCUUCUUUGUCAAGUAAAGCAAAAUUAGUGUCAAAGAGCUACUUUGCUCUGUCUGCUGGGAACAGAAACUAUAGAUUGGCAUCAGUCUGAAAAGAAGGAAAGAGGAGAGAAAUAGAGCAAGUAAGCAAUCCUGGACAACUUUUUAAAAAAUGCGCAGAGGCAUGUCACUAAUAAGUUGGGAAGUAGCAACGCCAAAGCGAAGACUCCAUGUUUAAAGUAAAAGCAGUCAUUGAACAGAAAAUUCCUUGUUAUUGAGUGUUGUCGGUUUUCAGAAGUCUUCCAGACGCUUUUACAACUUGGUGGGCCAUCGCUCCACCAUAGAUCACACCCAGCCAUGUCAUCAAUUAGCAGCCCUAUGUUACAAUCAGCCUCACAUCCCUGGGGACUUCCUCCCAUCUAUCACAAGAUGAGAGAGGGCGCAGCAGACACUUACUCACACUUGAAACCAAUUUUGGCCCUUUGCUGCACAGCUCCACCCAAGAGAUGAAAGGGAACAGUUUCUCACUUGACAAACAGUCCCUUUCACCAAAGCUUUAACCUCUAUUGGUAAAAUCACUCUUUUUCUCCUCAUCGCCUGU